AGGCCUUCACAGCGACUCUUACACACACUGCUGAAGAUGUAAACUCAGCCAUCAGCCUCUUAAACAGUCAGUUCUUGGAAAACAGGAAGGAGAGGCAGCUGGGUGUUCUUUCAGUUAACUGUCUAAAGGCAUAAACACAGGAAUCCCACUUCCUUAUCAAUUCAGUGAUCUCCAACGCCUCAGCUGGGUGAAAGCGGGGGCCCUGGCGAUGUUAAUGUGGAUGGGCAACAAGGCAUUCUCUGGACUAGGUCACACAAAAGUAGCGCCGAUCUCCUAGAACAAUUCUGGAGAAACUUCCAGUGAAGUUGGCCUUUUGUUAUAAACAGUUGGCUUCCAGUGCCCCGGAGAACGAGGGGGCUGGAAGAAGGAGCGGCCUCAUCAGCCUUCACCUUGACGUCAGAAACUACUGUUGCUGCCUCUCUUCCCACGUCAAACAAAAGUGCCCCAAGCCUUUGGGCUCAGGGGUCUAUGUGAAAGAAGAGGUGGAAAGAUUAGAGCCAGAGGUAUUGGGCAACUCCAAGGAAUAGCAUCUUCCAGACACAAGGCUGAUGUACAUGUAGACUUACAGAAGCUGUGACAUCGUUCACAAUACCUGCACAGAUUAAAUCCAGACGAAAGCCCAGCAUGGAGAAGAGACAGUGGGCGCAUGCUCCUACCCCUAACCAAUUCUCAAUUGGUAGCUGCUGGGAAAGAGCAUUGGUUUUCCUCAAUGGAAUGACAUUGGGUAUGUCAGUCACACUUCAGGGCAAAAGCUCAUGCUCAGAAGUCUCUGGCCAACAAAACAAAUUCUACGGUGUUUUCUUAACGGUGUAUGCUUUUUGUUUGGUUGGCUUUGUUUGGUUACUUAUUUUUUUGAGAGAGAGAAAGAGCAUGUAGUUAGAUGGGUGUCUGGGAAGAGUUGAGGGGAGGGGAAAGAGUAUGAUCAAAAUGUAGUGUACGAAGUGCUUUUAAAAGUAAUAAAGA